UAGUUAUUAAUUUAAUUAAAAUAUUAAUUUUGUAAAUUAAAAAUAAAUUUAACAUUUAUAACUAA
rnacentral:tRNA from 1 species